rnacentral:rRNA from 1 species
UACGAAGGGGGCUAGCGUUGCUCGGAAUUACUGGGCGUAAAGCGCACGUAGGCGGAUUGUUAAGUCGGGGGUGAAAUCCCAGGGCUCAACCCUGGAACUGCCUCCGAUACUGGCAUUCUGGAGUCCGGGAGAGGUGAGUGGAAUUCCGAGUGUAGAGGUGAAAUUCGUAGAUAUUCGGAAGAACACCAGUGGCGAAGGCGGCUCACUGGCCCGGAACUGACGCUGAGGUGCGAAAGCGUGGGGAGCAAACAGG